UGGGGAAUAUUCCACAAUGGGCGCAAGCCUGAUGCAGCCAUGCCGCGUGUAUGAAGAAGGCCUUCGGGUUGUAAAGUACUUUCAGUCGGGAGGAAGGUGGUAAGGUUAAUAACCUUGGCAAUUGACGUUACCGACAGAAGAAGCACCGGCUAACUCCGUGCCAGCAGCCGCGGUAAUACGGAGGGUGCAAGCGUUAAUCGGAAUUACUGGGCGUAAAGCGCACGCAGGCGGUUGAUUGAGUCAGAUGUGAAAUCCCCGGGCUUAACCCGGGAAUUGCAUCUGAUACUGGUCAGCUAGAGUCUUGUAGAGGGGGGUAGAAUUCCAUGUGUAGCGGUGAAAUGCGUAGAGAUGUGGAGGAAUACCGGUGGCGAAGGCGGCCCCCUGGACAAAGACUGACGCUCAGGUGCGAAAGCGUGGGGAGCAAACAGG
rnacentral:rRNA from 1 species